rnacentral:rRNA from 1 species
AACGAACGCUGGCGGCAGGCCUAACACAUGCAAGUCGAGCGAGAUCUUCGGGUCUAGCGGCGGACGGGUGAGUAACGCGUGGGAAUAUGCCCUUCUCUGCGGAAUAGCCUCGGGAAACUGAGCGUAAUACCGCAUACGCCCUUUGGGGGAAAGAUUUAUCGGAGAAGGAUUAGCCCGCGUUGGAUUAGGUAGUUGGUGGGGUAACGGCCUACCAAGCCGACGAUCCAUAGCUGGUUUGAGAGGAUGAUCAGCCACACUGGGACUGAGACACGGCCCAGACUCCUACGGGAGGCAGCAGUGGGGAAUCUUAGACAAUGGGGGCAACCCUGAUCUAGCCAGGCCGCGUGAGUGAUGAAGGCCUUAGGGUUGUAAAGCUCUUUCAGCUGGGAAGAUAAUGACGGUACCAGCAGAAGAAGCCCCGGCUAACUCCGU